GAAAAGCUCCUCCUGUCCCUGGAGAACAUGGGCAAUCACCUCCUCGCCAGGAGCUAGCGUCACACUUCCCACGCCCCUGCGAGCUUCAGGGGUGGGCUCUGGCGUGCGGAGCAGGGGCAGCUGUCCUACAGGGCCGAGCGCCAGACAUCCCUUCCCAGAAGAGGAGUGAGAACAACAUAGUCUCUAAUGAGUAGCUCUGCUCUAAUCAGAAGAGGUAACCUGGAAUGAGUUGUGUGUACAUGACAGAAGAGUCCUGCUGAGAGACACUAAGGAAUGGAACCAUCUGAAACAGAGAAUGGGAGAGGGAGGAGCAUUUGGUCUGUGCACUGCAGUGAGAGACUUACCAGAAGCUGCUUCUUCUGCCUGAAUCGCACCGUGUGAUUGUAAACAUUGAUGAGAAUCUCUUUGAGAUUGUGUGCCUUGUACUGAAACUUUCUGCUUUGAAAACUGAGGCCUUUUUGUGCUCAGUAAUGUACCAUCAAUAGCACUGGCAGACCUGCCUGCCUUCCCCUGUGAAAAAGACUGGAAGCACCACAGAAGAAAGACUGGGCACCCAUACCCUUUUUCCUUCUGUAGUCUUCAUGAAACACCAAAUGAAGAUCCGCUUGCACAUACCUGUUGGAUUACACUUGUAUUUUCCAUUUUUGAUCACACAGGUUUCUCGAGAGUCACAGUCAUAGUUCUGACAUCCGAUGACACCAUUCUUCUGACACUGGCAUCUUUUGGCACAGUGUGGAGUUAUCCAGGUCUCCCCAGCCUGGACACAAGUUGUGUUAAUAAUAUGUUACCAAGGUGCUCAGCUUUACAAUGCAAUAGGAGACCAAGAGUGAAGGGUAUGGAGGCUGGCUAGGUGCAACCUGUCCUGCUGGCUGCUCCACAACUGCCUUAUCCAGGCAUAGUCUCACCAAAAGCCUGGGAGGCGGGGAAUCUCAGUCCAUUUGUCUUAUUGACUAUCUUGAGAAUAGAGAGACUACCUGAAUAACUCUGAUCAAAGUACUGGUCUCCAUCAUGCCUCGAUUUUGGCAUCGUAUGCAAAGCACGAAGCUUUUGCAGCUGCUAAUAACUGAGCCUGCAGCUUUUUCUAACCAAAUGAAAGAUAUCUAAAGAUUUUUCUCUCUCUCAUUUAGACGGUCAGGAAAGCCCCCCACAGGUUUUGCAGCCAGAGAUUUGUUCCACAGACAAACUACUUACGCUGUAGUAAUUGUUGUCAUCAUCCCUGCAGCCACAAUCGCUCAGAGGUACACACUUGCCACUACUGAGCACAUAAUUAUCAUCACACUCACAGCCCUCUGUGCACCCUUCUGUCUUCUCACAAAGGGAAGAGGCAAAAAUGUCGUUGCAAGUUGAUGGGCAGGGGGAAGCGCAGUCUGUGUAAUGGCUGUGAGAUGAACAGGGCAAUGCUAUGUGGGUGAAGAAAAUAAAAAGAGUGUUGUUUAAUACAUUUAGAAACUGCAACUGCAAACACCUAUGACUGCCUGAAAGCUAGGACUUGGGCUGCAAAAUGUCAGUAUACGAUUGCCUUUUAAUAGCUGAUUUUGAUCAUCCAGUUUUGAUCUUCGACUUUUUAAAAAAAUACAGAGAACCUUUCUGGAGCUGCUGAUUCAGUUCUAUUACAGGUGUGUCUGAGCUGGUGGCACCUGGAGCUAGAUCAUUCAGAGCCUCUAUUCCAGAUCAGCUGCAAAUGCUUCUUUUGGCACUGUUAAAAAUGCGAAUCAUUAGGGAAAAUUCCUUAGAAUGCUCAACUCUCCAGUGAUAUAAGACAGGUGUUAGUUAAGUUAGGUUAGUUUAACCACAGACAUAAACAUAUACAAGACCAACAGGUAUGCAUCGUCAAACUAAAAGUUCAUCUGGCUCUAUAUCCUAUUUCUGCCAAUGACUAGAGAUGCAUAAGGAGAGAAUUCAAGAAACACAUCAGCAAAAAGUGUUCCUUUGCCCAGCAUUCUCCCCCACUUCUGGCAAGCAGGCCUUUGGAAUUUCCGAUGGACCUAUUCAAUAUUCAUCUGGCUUGCUUUUUAAGCAGUUAACUGUUUUGGCCUCCAAAACAUUGCGUGACAAUUAAUUCCACAAUGUAAUACUGAACUGUGAAAAAACAAAUACCAUGUAAUCUUUAUACAACUAGUCUGUGGCUUUGUUGAAUGGGUGGAAUGAGACCUGUACACUGGAGAUUAAUCAGAGAACCCAGCCCUUAGUAAGCAACUGGCCAAAUUGCCAGUCUUCAUUCAGAUCACAGUGAGCAGUGUUGAGCCUUGUGUCCUAAUAUAGUAUCCCAAUUUCUUCUAGCCUUCUUGUUAUACUAUUUCUCAAUUUUAGACUCAUUGCAAUAUCUCACAAUAUCCAUUUGGCUACUAAAACUAUUCUAACUCCACAUUACUACACACAGCUUGUCUAGUCCUGAGUUAUCACUGGAUUUAGCUCAACAUGAACAUAGCUCAGUGCAGCGAUGAAGUCAUAAAAUCACAGAUAAUAGCAUUGCAUUUUGUGAGGAUUUGGGUUUAAUUAUCUUUUACAAAACUUGUCCAGCUAAUACUGCUAAUUCAUUUUCAUGCCAUCAGCCAUCCAAGGUUCUGUUUUUUCACUCUCCUGUGCACUUACGACAGAAUGUGCUGUUCCUCCAUUUAAUGGUGAUGCCUUCGUUCCUGCAGGUGUCCACAUAGACUUGAACUAUGUCACAGAGAGUGGACUUCAUGCCAUCGUACUGGCACAUGUCAUAGGUGCAGAUCUGUAUGAAGGGUUCAGGCUUGACCAGAUUGUGACAUGGUUUGAAUUUGUCUGAAUUUAAAACAUUGCACUGGCUUUCAAUGACUGGUUUAUUCUCAGCAGUGCAAGGAGGAAGAUCAUCUUCUCUUGAGUCUGAAAAACAGCUGCAUGAAAGCAUAAACAGUUAAAUUUGAGUUUCAAAGACAUAUGUAAAACUGAGAUGAAAGUGGUAAGUCUGUUGCUGAGAAGUAUUAAAUAAAUAGCUCUGGAGACUA